rnacentral:rRNA from 1 species
AGUUUGGGGGGGUGGUGGGCAGCGGCGAGGUGAUAACGCGUGGGACGUGCCCCAAGUGAGAAUAACUGCCCAAAGGGACUAAUACCGAUAUGAUCUCGGAUUAAGUCUUCGGACGCUUUGGGAGCGGCCUGCGUUAAUUAGUAGUUGGAGGGUAAUGGCCUACCGCCACAUCUAUACUGGUCUGAAGGAUGAUCAGCCGGACUGGGACUGAACCGGCCAACUCCUACGGAGGCAGAGAAUCUUCCCAUGGGAAACCUGAUGGACCA